AGGAGCGUCGGUUAACGGCAAACCACCGGUCUCCAAAACCGGAACUGCAGGUUCGACUCCUGCCGCUCCUGCCA
rnacentral:tRNA from 1 species